AUUGAACGCUGGCGGCAGGCUUAACACAUGCAAGUCGAACGAGUGGCGGACGGGUGAGUAAUGUCUGGGAAACUGCCUGAUGGAGGGGGAUAACUACUGGAAACGGUCGCUAAUACCGCAUACCAUCAGAUGUGCCCAGAUGGGAUUAGCUAGUAGGUGGGGUAAUGGCUCACCUAGGCGACGAUCCCUAGCUGGUCUGAGAGGAUGACCAGCCACACUGGAAUUGAGACACGGUCCAGACUCCUACGGGAGGCAGCAGUGGGGAAUAUUGCACAAUGGGGGCAAGCCUGAUGCAGCCAUGCCGCGUGUAUGAAGAAGGCCUUCGGGUUGUAAAGCACUUUCAGCGAGGAGGCGUUACUCGCAGAAUAAGCACCGGCUAACUCCGUGCCAGCAGCCGCGGUAAUAC
rnacentral:rRNA from 1 species